UAGAUAGCUCAGUUGGUUAGGGCAUGGUGCUGAUAAUGCCAAUGUUUCAGGUUUGAUCCCCGUAUGGGACAA